UAGGGAAUCUUCCGCAAUGGGCGAAAGCUUGACGGAGCAACGCCGCGUGAGUGAUGAAGGUCUUCGGAUCGUAAAACUCUGUUAUUAGGGAAGAACAAAUGUGUAAGUAACUAUGCACGUCUUGACGGUACCUAAUCAGAAAGCCACGGCUAACUACGUGCCAGCAGCCGCGGUAAUACGUAGGUGGCAAGCGUUAUCCGGAAUUAUUGGGCGUAAAGCGCGCGUAGGCGGUUUUUUAAGUCUGAUGUGAAAGCCCACGGCUCAACCGUGGAGGGUCAUUGGAAACUGGAAAACUUGAGUGCAGAAGAGGAAAGUGGAAUUCCAUGUGUAGCGGUGAAAUGCGCAGAGAUAUGGAGGAACACCAGUGGCGAAGGCGACUUUCUGGUCUGUAACUGACGCUGAUGUGCGAAAGCGUUGGGAUCAAACAGG
rnacentral:rRNA from 1 species